rnacentral:tRNA from 1 species
GGGGCUGUAGCUCAGCUGGGAGAGCGCUGCGUUCGCAAUGCAGAGGUCGACGGUUCGAUCCCGUUCAGCUCCACCA